rnacentral:rRNA from 1 species
UACGUAGGUGGCAAGCGUUGUCCGGAUUUAUUGGGCGUAAAGCGCGCGCAGGCGGUGCGGUAAGUCUCUGGUGAAAGCGCUCGGCUUAACUGGGCGAGGGCCGGGGAGACUGCCACGCUGGAGGGGAGCAGAGGCGAGUGGAAUUCCGGGUGUAGUGGUGAAAUGCGUAGAGAUCCGGAGGAACACCAGUGGCGAAGGCGGCUCGCUGGGCUCUGCCUGACGCUGAGGCGCGAAAGCGUGGGGAGCGAGCCGG